UACGUAGGUGGCAAGCGUUGUCCGGAUUUAUUGGGUUUAAAGGGUGCGUAGGCGGUCUUAUAAGUCAGUGCUGAAAUAUCCCGGCUUAACCGGGAGGGUGGCAUUGAUACUGUAGGACUUGAGUAAAGUUGAGGUUGGCGGAAUUGACGGUGUAGCGGUGAAAUGCUUAGAUAUCGUCAAGAACACCUAUAGCGAAGGCAGCUAACUAAACUCUAACUGACGCUGAGGCACGAAAGUGUGGGGAUCAAACAGG
rnacentral:rRNA from 1 species